AGGCUGAGACACGACGUCGAGCUACUACGGUAGUGAAGUCAUUGAUGCCAUGCUUCCAGGAAAAGCCUCUAAGCUUCAGAUUGUAAGGAAUCGUACCCCAAACCGACACAGGUGGUCGGGUAGAGAAUACCAAGGCGCUUGAGAGAACUCGGGUGAAGGAACUAGGCAAAAUGGUACCGUAACUUCGGGAGAAGGUACGCUCUCGACGGUGAAGUCCCUCGCGGAUGGAGCUAUUGAGAGUCGCAGAUACCAGGUGGCUGCAACUGUUUAUUAAAAACACAGCACUGUGCAAAAUCGCAAGAUGACGUAUACGGUGUGACGCCUGCCCGGUGCCGGAAGGUUAAUUGAUGGGGUUAGACUUCGGUCGAAGCUCUUGAUCGAAGCCCCGGUAAACGGCGGCCGUAACUAUAACGGUCCUAAGGUAGCGAAAUUCCUUGUCGGGUAAGUUCCGACCUGCACGAAUGGCGUAAUGAUGGCCACGCUGUCUCCACCCGAGACUCAGUGAAAUUGAAAUCGCUGUGAAGAUGCAGUGUACCCGCGGCUAGACGGAAAGACCCCGUGAACCUUUACUACAGCUUGGCACUGAACAUUGACCCUACAUGUGUAGGAUAGGUGGGAGGCUUUGAAGCGCAGUCGCUAGAUUGCGUGGAGCCGUCCUUGAAAUACCACCCUUGUAGUGUUGAUGUUCUAACGUCGACCCCUCAUCGGGGUUGCGGACAGUGCCUGGUGGGUAGUUUGACUGGGGCGGUCUCCUCCCAAAGCGUAACGGAGGAGCACGAAGGUGGGCUAAUCACGGUUGGACAUCGUGAGGUUAGUGCAAUGGCAUAAGCCCGCUUGACUGCGAGAAUGACAAUUCGAGCAGGUGCGAAAGCAGGUCAUAGUGAUCCGGUGGUUCUGAAUGGAAGGGCCAUCGCUCAACGGAUAAAAGGUACUCCGGGGAUAACAGGCUGAUACCGCCCAAGAGUUCAUAUCGACGGCGGUGUUUGGCACCUCGAUGUCGGCUCAUCACAUCCUGGGGCUGAAGUCGGUCCCAAGGGUAUGGCUGUUCGCCAUUUAAAGUGGUACGCGAGCUGGGUUUAGAACGUCGUGAGACAGUUCGGUCCCUAUCUGCCGUGGGCGUUGGAGAAUUGAAAGGGGCUGCUCCUAGUACGAGAGGACCGGAGUGGACGAACCUCUGGUGUUCGGGUUGUGUCGCCAGACGCAUUGCCCGGUAGCUAAGUUCGGGAUCGAUAACCGCUGAAAGCAUCUAAGCGGGAAGCGAGCCUUGAGAUGAGUUCUCCCUGAUACUUUAAGUAUCCUAAAGGGUUGUCGUAGACUACGACGUUGAUAGGCAGGGUGUGUAAGCGUUGUGAGGCGUUGAGCUAACCUGUACUAAUUGCCCGUGAGGCUUAACCAU
rnacentral:rRNA from 1 species